CCUACGGGUGGCAGCAGUGAGGAAUAUUGGUCAAUGGCCGGAAGGCUGAACCAGCCAAGCCGCGUGAAGGACGAAGGUGCCAAGCAUUGUAAACUUCUUUUGUCAAGGGACAAAAUCAUGCUCGAGAGCCUGUCCGAGGGUACUUGAAGAAAAAGCAUCGGCUAACUCCGUGCCAGCAGCCGCGGUAAUACGGAGGAUGCGAGCGUUAUCCGGAUUUAUUGGGUUUAAAGGGUGCGUAGGCGGUCUGUUAAGUCAGCGGUAAAAGCCCGGGGCUCAACCCCGGCGAGCCGUUGAAACUGGCGGUCUUGAGAGGGCGAGAGGUAUGCGGAAUGCGCGGUGUAGCGGUGAAAUGCUUAGAUAUGGCGCAGAACUCCGAUUGCGAAGGCAGCAUACCGGCGGCGAUCUGACGCUGAGGCACGAAAGCGUGGGUAUCGAACAGGAUUAGAUACCCGUGUAGUC
rnacentral:rRNA from 1 species